rnacentral:rRNA from 1 species
UAGAGUUUGAUCCUGGCUCAGAUUGAACGCUGGCGGCAUGCUUUACACAUGCAAGUCGAACGGCAGCGCGGGCUUCGGCCUGGCGGCGAGUGGCGAACGGGUGAGUAAUAUAUCGGAACGUACCCAAGAGUGGGGGAUAACGUAGCGAAAGUUACGCUAAUACCGCAUACGAUCCAAGGAUGAAAGCAGGGGACCGCAAGGCCUUGUGCUCCUGGAGCGGCCGAUAUCUGAUUAGCUAGUUGGUGAGGUAAAGGCUCACCAAGGCAACGAUCAGUAGCUGGUCUGAGAGGACGACCAGCCACACUGGAACUGAGACACGGUCCAGACUCCUACGGGAGGCAGCAGUGGGGAAUUUUGGACAAUGGGGGCAACCCUGAUCCAGCAAUGCCGCGUGAGUGAAGAAGGCCUUCGGGUUGUAAAGCUCUUUUGUCAGGGAAGAAAAGGGAGUGGCUAAUAUCCAUUCCUGCUGACGGUACCUGAAGAAUAAGCACCGGCUAACUACGUGCCAGCAGCCGCGGUAAUACGUAGGGUGCAAGCGUUAAUCGGAAUUACUGGGCGUAAAGCGUGCGCAGGCGGUUUCGUAAGUCUGUCGUGAAAUCCCCGGGCUUAACCUGGGAAUGGCGAUGGAGACUGCGAGGCUAGAGUUUGGCAGAGGGGGGUAGAAUUCCACGUGUAGCAGUGAAAUGCGUAGAGAUGUGGAGGAACACCGAUGGCGAAGGCAGCCCCCUGGGUCAAGAUUGACGCUCAUGCACGAAAGCGUGGGGAGCAAAC